CUUAGUUGCCAUCGGGAUGGGCCGGGCACUUUAAGGAAACUGCCGGUGACAAGCCGGAGGAAGGCGGGGAUGACGUCAAGUCCUCNUGGCCCUUAUGGGCUGGGCUACACACUUGCUACANUGGCGGUUACANCGGGCAGCGACGGGGCGACCCCAANCGAAUCCCGAAAGGCCGUCUCAGUUCGGAUUGCACUCUGCAACUCGAGUGCAUGAAGUCGGAAUCGCUAGUAAUCGCGGAUCAGCAUGCCGCGGUGAAUACGUUCCCGGGCCUUGUACACA
rnacentral:rRNA from 1 species